GGGACUGGCCUGAUCUCUCGACGUACAGUGACGAUUUCUUCCUGCACGUCGAGAUUUCAAGCCAUGUCCCG
rnacentral:precursor_RNA from 1 species